rnacentral:rRNA from 1 species
AGAGUUUGAUCCUGGCUCAGGAUGAACGCUAGCGACAGGCUUAACACAUGUAAGUCGAGGGGCAGCAUGAGGUAGCAAUACCUUGAUGGCGACCGGCGCACGGGUGAGUAACGCGUAUGCAACCUGCCCGAUACCGGGGUAUAGCCCAUGGAAACGUGGAUUAACACCCCAUAGUACUUUUAUCCUGCCUGGGAUGGGAGUUAAAUGUUCAAGGUAUCGGAUGGGCAUGCGUCCUAUUAGUUAGUUGGCGGGGUAACAGCCCACCAAGACGAUGAUAGGUAGGGGUUCUGAGAGGAAGGUCCCCCACAUUGGAACUGAGACACGGUCCAAACUCCUACGGGAGGGA